GACAGAGGCCUCAAGCGUUAGGCGGAAUCACUGGGCUUAAAGCGUGUGUAGGCGGAUCGUUAAGUGUCUUGUGAAAUCCCACGGCUCACCCGUGGAACUGCUGGGCAUACUGGCGAUCUUGGGCCAACUAGGGGCAGCCGGAACAAGCGGUGGAGCGGUGAAAUGCGUAGAUAUCGAGAGGAACACCUGCGGCGAAGGCGGGUUGCUGGGCUGACACUGACGCUGGAGGCGCGAAAGCUAGGGGAGCGAACGGG
rnacentral:rRNA from 1 species